rnacentral:lncRNA from 1 species
GAAUCUUUAAAAAAAGAUUUAGCAAGAAAUGACAGAAAUGAAUUCAUUUCAGUGAAAACCAAAAAUGAAUAGCAAUGAACAAAAGAAAAAGCUCAGACAGGAUAUGAAAAAACUCUUGAAGACAUUUCUUCUGCCUUCUCUGCAAACAGGCUCAUUCUCCUUUCACAGAUAAUCUUCCUCUUCUCCCUCCUCCAGAGGAUAGAAAAUUAUCCCCUGCCUUCCAAGCCUACACAGCACAUAUAAAUUCCCUACCAUUUAUCUGGAUAGACUGCAGGGGAAACCCUGAGACUCAAUUUCCAGGGGACAUAAUCUGAUUGUUCCACCCCACUUCAGGUGUUCACCUGGUCCAAUCAGUUACAAGCAUGGAAUUUAUGUGGUCACUUAUUUUAAAUAUGGCUGUCUGGGGCACACCUCUAUGAACUGGGGUGAUUUGUAUGGAAAAGAAGAGAUGAACAUAUGCAACUACUGGCAUUCGAGUAGGCUACAUUCUCUAAAACUUGUCACUAUUUAAAUGAAGACAUUUUUCCUGCAUGUUCCACUCCUUCGUGUCAGAUCUCAGCACCAUUUCUCCUGCUAACUAGUUUAGCUGGAAAUUUCUCCUUUUGAAGGAUAGACAAUAGGUAACCAUAGCAACUGGUUGUACAGGUAAUUGCUAUGAAACAUUGCCCAGGGGUUAGAAAGCCAUGGAGACACUCAUCCCUACAUUCAGCUAAGGCAUCAGUUCACAACCAAGCUGUCCACCAUUUCUGGAAGUGGGCUGAUGAGGAAAGACACAGGUUCGCCACCAUCAUCUUCAGAUGCAAUAAGACACCAACCUCUCGAAUGCAAUUAGUCCAUUCCCCAGGGGUCCAGCCAGCACUUUAGGCAUCCCAGAAUCCUUCAGCUCCUGAUGAUCUCCCUCUUCACUCAUUCACUCUUCCCUGGAAACUCCAAACAUGGGACAAUAUUCCUCUCUCUCCUCCUCCUCCUCCUCAGUUUUAAAGAAACAUAGCCUUGGAAUGGCUUACUUUAGAAUUUCUAGGAUAAAGAAACAGACAUAAUCCAGGGACUUAUGGGUUCAUGUCUUUUAGCAUUAGGGUUUGGGAAACAGCUCAGUGAUAAGCCCAUGAGUCCUAUUGCCAGGCUGCCUAAGUUAAAAGCCCAGAUGUCUCACUUAUAUUUCUGCCUUCAGCAUGUCGUGAACCUCUCUGGGCUUCCGUUUCCUUGUUGAAUUGUGACAGUUAAAUGAGCUGAUGCACCUAAAAUGCUGAGAGCUAUGUAAUUCAUUGCCAUUGUUAUUACCACUAUUAUAAUAAAAAAAAAAAAUCUAACCUGAAGGGCA